UGAUGACCAGCUCUACUUCUAACAGCUA
rnacentral:piRNA from 1 species